UGCAGUCGAGCGAACUGACGAGGAGCUUGCUCCUUUGACGUUAGCGGCGGACGGGUGAGUAACACGUGGGUAACCUACCUAUAAGACUGGAAUAACUCCGGGAAACCGGGGCUAAUGCCGGAUAACAUAUCGAACCGCAUGGUUCGAUAGUGAAAGACGGUCUUGCUGUCACUUAUAGAUGGACCCGCGCCGUAUUAGCUAGUUGGUGAGGUAAUGGCUCACCAAGGCAACGAUACGUAGCCGACCUGAGAGGGUGAUCGGCCACACUGGAACUGAGACACGGUCCAGACUCCUACGGGAGGCAGCAGUAGGGAAUCUUCCGCAAUGGGCGAAAGCCUGACGGAGCAACGCCGCGUGAGUGAUGAAGGUCUUCGGAUCGUAAAGCUCUGUUGUUAGGGAAGAACAAAUGUGUAAGUAACUGUGCACAUCUUGACGGUACCUAACCAGAAAGCCACGGCUAACUACGUGCCAGCAGCCGCGGUAAUACGUAGGUGGCAAGCGUUAUCCGGAAUUAUUGGGCGUAAAGCGCGCGUAGGCGGUUUUUUAAGUCUGAUGUGAAAGCCCACGGCUCAACCGUGGAGGGUCAUUGGAAACUGGAAAACUUGAGUGCAGAAGAGGAAAGUGGAAUUCCAUGUGUAGCGGUGAAAUGCGCAGAGAUAUGGAGGAACACCAGUGGCGAAGGCGGCUUUCUGGUCUGUAACUGACGCUGAUGUGCGAAAGCGUGGGGAUCAAACAGGAUUAGAUACCCUGGUAGUCCACGCCGUAACGAUGAGUGCUAAGUGUUA
rnacentral:rRNA from 1 species